GAAGAAACUAUUCUCCCAACAGCAACAGCGGCACCCCACUGCAGAGAGAAUGCUAAAAUUUUAGCCACUAAAAGAAGAGGGAUGGAGUGGAGUUAAAAAUGUGUCAGACAUGGAAAAUGGAAGCCCAGUUGGAAAAGGGCUGACAAUUCAAAGGUUUCCUAUUAUCUCCAUAAACAGCAGAAACGAACAUAGAACACUCUACUCUGUUAACAGUGCAGGAAAUUGUUAUGCUGCAUUAGCAGCAAAUUUGGAAAUCCCUCCACGUUGUGUGUAAUCCUCGAAUUUAGCUGAAGACAGCCAUAAAAUGAACUGAUUACGGCUUGCUAACAACAGUGAUGAAAGAGCAAACGCACACAGCUAUGCAAAUAGGAAAUAUGACAUGACAGAGAGCACAGCCACCGCGAUAACAGCAGAUUUGGAAGCAAGAUACUAUGUUUCCAUUAACUGAGCAAAGCUGCCACCUGACUAAGGAAGGGUUAAAGAAAUAAAUAGCCCCUCAAGAAAUUCCAUGAAAAACACUGAAGAUAAGCACAUGGAAAACUCAGACAGCAGGCCUUCUGUUAAGUAUGUGACAGAAAUUUCUGUGCUUCAGAUGAGGAACUGAGGCACAGAGAGACUAAGGGAGUUGACCAAGGCCAUCCAGAAAAUCUCUGCCAGAGCACAGAAUUAAACAUGGAUCUCCUGGAUCCCAGGCUAGUGCCCUAAUGACCGGAC